rnacentral:lncRNA from 1 species
AUAUUGCUUGAUUAAUCAAUUCAAACCGUCAACCUCAUAUUUAGGCUUAGUUUGGUAUUGAGAUUUAUCUAACGCUAUUAGAUAAAAUGGAGUUGAGGAAAAAGCAUAUAGGGAUAUGCUUCUGCCUUCUCCGAUGGGACCGCAGAAAAUAUAUCGUAACCGACUCAUUGCGAUAAGCGGAACGCUAUAUUACAUACGGAAUCAAACAUGAUAUUUUUCCAUCAUCGUUUCUCACCGCACGUAAUGCAAUCUCCCCGCAAUCCCAAACGAAAUCUUAAUUGACUCCAACGUUAACUUCAUCACGGA